UACGGAGGAUCCAAGCGUUAUCCGGAAUCAUUGGGUUUAAAGAGUCCGUAGGCGGUUUAAUAAGUCAGUGGUGAAAGCCCAUCGCUCAACGGUGGAACGGCCAUUGAUACUGUUAAACUUGAAUUAUUAGGAAGUAACUAGAAUAUGUAGUGUAGCGGUGAAAUGCUUAGAGAUUACAUGGAAUACCAAUUGCGAAGGCAGGUUACUACUAAUGGAUUGACGCUGAUGGACGAAAGCGUGGGUAGCGAACAGG
rnacentral:rRNA from 1 species